rnacentral:rRNA from 1 species
AGUGAACUCUGGCGGCGUGCCUAACACAUGCAAGGCGAACGAUGAGGGAUGAGCUUGCUCAUCCUGAUUAGUGGCGCACGGGUGAGUAUACCAUAGAUAAUGUACCCCUUAGUUCGGGAUAGCCACUGGAAACGGAGAUUAAUACAGGAUACUCCUUCCUGCCCUCAGGUUAGUCGGGAAAGGUUUUUCGCUAAGGGAUCAGUCUAUGUCCUAUCAGGUAGUUGGUGAGGUAACGGCUCACCAAGCCUAUGACGGGUAUCUGGUUUGAGAGGAUGAUCAGACACACUGGAACUGAGACACGGUCCAGACUCCUACGGGAGGCAGCAGUGAGGAAUAUUGCACAAUGGAGGAAACUCUGAUGCAGCAACGCCGCGUGGAGGAUGACGCAUUUCGGUGUGUAAACUCCUUUUAAGAGGGAAGAUUAUGACGGUACCUCUUGAAUAAGCACCGGCUAACUCCGUGCCAGCAGCCGCAGUAA